CAGUCGCCGCGGUAAAACGGAGGGUGCAAGCGUUAAUCGGAAUUACUGGGCGUAAAGCGUGCGUAGGCGGUUCGUUAAGUCUGUUGUGAAAGCCCCGGGCUCAACCUGGGAAUGGCAAUGGAUACUGGCGAGCUAGAGUGUGUCAGAGGAUGGUGGAAUUCCCGGUGUAGCGGUGAAAUGCGUAGAGACCGGGAGGAACAUCAGUGGCGAAGGCGGCCAUCUGGGACAACACUGACGCUGAGGCACGAAAGCGUGGGGAGCAAACAGGAUUAGAUACCCGUGUAGUCCCUGUCUCUUAUAC
rnacentral:rRNA from 1 species